AACCAUUCUCACCUGCGGCUAGACCUGCGGAAGGAUCAUUACAGAGUUGCAAAACUCCCAAACCAUCGUGAACGUUACCUACAUCGUUGCUUCGGCGGGUGGCGGGCCUCGGCCCUGCCCUCGGCCCCUCUCGGGGGCCCGCCGGAGGUACACCAAACUCUUGAAUUUACAUGGCCUCUCUGAGUCUUCUGUACUGAAUAAGUCAAAACUUUCAACAACGGAUCUCAGAUCGGAAGAGCA
rnacentral:misc_RNA from 1 species